AGCCAUCUGCUGGCCCAGGGUCCCCACAAGCUGGCUGUGCCCUCCGGCGCCGGGCCCGGCUGCCCUUUGGGGGGCUCGGGGCUGUGGCGGCCCUGGGCUCCACGGGGCUCCAGAAAGGCCCUCGGGUACUGCCUGUGCCCGCUCACUGCAGCUCCCCGACACCACGCCCAGGCCUUUCCUGAACCCCGACUUCCCUGCCCAGGAGCCCACAGCCUCCGUGGGUGGGGCUGCCCCCAGGUUCCCAGGCCCAGGACCCUCCCCGGGGGCCCAGCCAGCUGGCGGCGGGGUCCAAACGAUCAUGCCAGUGCUGCCCAUGGAGGGGCUGGUGUCCCCUCCCCACGCCCAGCCCGGAGCCAGCUGUCAGCAGUGCGCCCCGCAGUGAGGACGCCCACACCCCUGCGGGGGCCCCGCUCUGCCCCUUGACCCGGGCCCUCCGUCCAGUGCCACUGCUUCCCUGCGCCCGUCUGCCCGCCUGCCGCCCCCCCCCCCCCGACCAGCAUGGGGGCCGCGCAGCUGCUCCCGGGCAAGAGCAUUUAUUUCUCUGCGGCUUCUCGUGCGACGCGGCUUCGCGCCUGAGCCCGGGGUGGGGGGCAGGACCGUCCUGGCUGCCGGAGCGCCUGCCUGCGCCUGGGCUCAGUGACCCCACGGUUUCCUCCGAGAACCCGUGAAGCUCCUCGUGGUGAUUUUCCUAAAACGAAGGCAGGUGAACCCUAGAUCCGUCUCACGUUGUAAAGCUUCCAACACAAGGGCCAGGAAGCCUCCCCUUGGCACUGCCGGUGGAUGUCUCCGGGGGUCUGGCUUUGCACGCCUUUUGGGACCGGGAGCUCCCUCCCUCCCUGUGGCUCUGACGGAGGCCACAGCACAGCUGGUGCGGCUGGAAGUGACCGCGGAGCGCCAGCACGCAGAGGAAGUCGCCGCAGCCCCAGGGAGCAGACCCCAAGGGGCCCGGGACACGCAUCUCUUCUGGGAGUAGAUCCGGCAAGGGGAGGGCCAGCUCAACACGCUGACCGUGAGGACAGCCUGGGGGCUCCUGGGGAGGGCCCGCAGCAGCAAGAACCGUUCCCUCCCACUGUGCCAUCUGCAUCACUGACUCGAGACAGCGCCUCUGCCCCAGGGCCUGCCGACCUCUGUGGGGACACGGCGAUGGGGCUCGGACUCUGGCCACCGGAGCCGGAAUCCGUGAUGUCUUGCCCACGUGGGCUCACAGGCGCGUCAGCCGCUCCGGCGUCUGCACCCCACAGCGCCUCCAGGACGUACGGGCUCAGCGAAUGAAGUCUGGUUCUGGGAGCUGGCACGGAGGUGGUUAGACAGCGAGGCUUUUAAUUAAAAGUGAAAACGUAAUUACAGUGGAAA